rnacentral:rRNA from 1 species
UACAGAGGGUGCGAGCGUUGUUCGGAAUUAUUGGGCGUAAAGGGCGCGUAGGCGGUGCGGUAAGUCACCUGUGAAAUCUCCUGGCUCAACUGGGAGCUUGCAGGCGAAACUGCCGUGCUGGAGUGUGGGAGAGGUGCGUGGAAUUCCUGGUGUAGCGGUGAAAUGCGUAGAUAUCAGGAGGAACACCUGCGGUGUAGACGGCUUACUGGACGGUAACUGACGCUGAGGCACGAAAGCGUGGGUAGCAAACAGG